AUUGAACGCUGGCGGCAGGCCUAACACAUGCAAGUCGAACGAGUGGCGGACGGGUGAGUAAUGUCUGGGAAACUGCCUGAUGGAGGGGGAUAACUACUGGGAACGGUAUCUAAUACCGCAUACCAUAAGAUGUGCCCAGAUGGGAUUAGCUGGUUGGUGGGGAAACGGCUCACCAAGGCGGCGAUCCCUGGCUGGUCUGAGAGGGUGCCGAGCCACACGGGAACUGAGACAGGGUCCAGACCCCUACGGGAGUCAGCGGGGGAGAAUAUUGCACAAUGGGCGCAAGCCUGAUGCAGCCAUGCCGCGUGUAUGAAGAAGGCCUUCGGUUUGUAGAGUACUUUCAGCGGGGAGACGUUUCCCGCAGAAAAAGCACCGGCUAAUUCCGUGCCAGCAGCCGCGGUAAUC
rnacentral:rRNA from 1 species